rnacentral:lncRNA from 10 species
UGAAGGGCAACCACAGGUUCCAAGGAAGACAAGCUGAAACAAUGCAAACUGGUUUUAUAUUAGAUACGUGACUUAAAAUAUCUCAAUACAGUUUUCUCCAAAAAAAAAAAAAUAGUUAGCCGAGUAUGGGGGUGUGCUUGGUAUGGCUUGAGCCCAGGAGUGAGUUUGAGGCUGCACCGAGCAAUGACUGUGCCACUGCACUCCAGUCUGGGCAAUGGAGUGAGACCCUGUCUCUAAAAAAUAAA